AGUGAACGCUGGCGGUAGGCCUAACACAUGCAAGUCGAACGGCAGCACAGUAAGAGCUUGCUCUUACGGGUGGCGAGUGGCGGACGGGUGAGGAAUACAUCGGAAUCUACUUUUUCGUGGGGGAUAACGUAGGGAAACUUACGCUAAUACCGCAUACGACCUACGGGUGAAAGCAGGGGAUCUUCGGACCUUGCGCGAUUGAAUGAGCCGAUGUCGGAUUAGCUAGUUGGCGGGGUAAAGGCCCACCAAGGCGACGAUCCGUAGCUGGUCUGAGAGGAUGAUCGGCGGCACUGGAACUGAGACACGGUCCAGAGUCCUACGGGAGGCAGCAGUGGGGAAUAGUGGACAAUGGGCGCAAGCCUGAUACAGCGAGACCGAGUGGGUGAAGAAGGCCUUCGGGUUGUAAAGCCCUUUUGUUGGGAAAGAAAAGCAGCAGGUUAAUACCCCGCUGUUCUGACGGUACCCAAAGAAUAAGCACCGGCUAACUUCGUG
rnacentral:rRNA from 1 species